rfam:Bacteroides sp. 43_108 Ley3_66761_scaffold_206, whole genome shotgun sequence.
GGGGCUGACUGGAUUUGACAGCAGGAUGAAGUUGUAUGUAAGCAUGCAGAGCGUCGGUGAUUUGCUCUAUAAUAUCAGUCAUCAAAAAAUUAUCUGGCGAAAACAAUUACGCUCUCGCUGCUUAAUCGAAGCAUAGUAGAUAAGCUUUAUUUCCCUGCAAGGCGGGGAAACGAGACAUCGCCCUGAAAGCUACAAGUCCCGAAGCGUUCAGAACGGCGGUGCGGCAAAAUCGGGAAUAGUCGGCGGCGGCCUCGCGCCGCAGAUGAAGCUUUAGAGGAUAAGGUCGCGGUGGGUGGUCCAGGUCUUGCCGAGGCACGAAAACCGAAGUCUGGAAUAAGCAUGUAGAAAGCAUAGGGCUUCCUUGUUUGGACGAGGGUUCAAUCCCCUCCAGCUCCACCC